rnacentral:rRNA from 1 species
UAGAGCACUGUUUCGGCUAGGGGGCCAUCCCGGCUUACCAACCCGAUGCAAACUGCGAAUACCGGAGAAUGUUAUCACGGGAGACACACGGCGGGUGCUAACGUCCGUCGUGAAGAGGGAAACAACCCAGACCGCCAGCUAAGGUCCCAAAGUCAUGGUUAAGUGGGAAACGAUGUGGGAAGGCCCAGACAGCCAGGAUGUUGGCUUAGAAGCAGCCAUCAUUUAAAGAAAGCGUAAUAGCUCACUGGUCGAGUCGGCCUGCGCGGAAGAUGUAACGGGGCUAAACCAUGCACCGAAGCUGCGGCAGCGAACGUAUCACUUAAAGCGAUUCAGCGGGUUACGAUUGA